rnacentral:pre_miRNA from 1 species
GAUUUCAAUUGAAAAAGUCAUCAACAACAAAGUUGUAUAACACAUCAAUAUCUAUAACAUUUAUUUUGGUCAUUUCUUCAUCCGACAAAGUGAUAGUAACAUUGUUUCUCAUAGUUUGUAAAACCAUAUAAGAGAUAUGUAAAAUUUGUGAACAAUGUUACUAUCACUUUAUCGGAUGAAGAAAUGACCAAAAUAAAAGUUAUAGAUAUUGAUGAGUUAUACAACUUUGUUGUUGAUGACUUUUUCAAUUGAAAUC